AAAUAAAGACGUGGAAAGUCUGCAACUGUCGACAUUUUUUACCUUGUUGAGAAGUUUGGUCGUUGGAAAGAAGGGUUGCCAUCGAGUGAGCGUUUUGGUACUGCAUUAUUAACGAGUCUUUAGUCGCAACGGUAACUUUUAGCAGACAGUUGAGACACAGCAGCAUAAGAGAAACACACUGGUGACACGAUGCCGAUGACUGAUUAGUGCUAAUGUAUCUUCAACUUGUACAAUGAAAGUGUGACAGACGCAUUUGAACUCAGCGGAAUUCUGUUACAAAUGGAUUCGGAGACUAUGAAUAUCAGCUUUGUAUCUCACCAGUUCGUCUUUGAUUAUCGAGGCAAUAAAGGACAUGGUCAGAAAAAGGAAGACUGUAGGGUAGAAACGGAGAAACAAACGUAUGAAAUGAAAUGGAGACAUCAGUGCGUAUUGAAGGAACGGAUGCCAAAAUGUUAAAAAGACGUAAAUACAAUGUUUAUUUCAAAUUUUAUGAUCAUAUGUAAUUUUAAUAUUAUC